AACGCCUUGGGAUACUUAACAAUUUUGAGGCCACAAAGAGAACAUCUCGUCCAAGACGCGAACCAUAUAAAACCAUCUUCUCCAGCACACUUGCAUUCUUGAGCAGAAACCCCAGAAAUGUAAACACACGUUCAAGGCUACAACCUCUUUCUCUUUUCAUGAGUUUGGAUAUCUUAACAGUCUUGAGAUUCAACAAUAAAUGGCUGAAAAUUAUCUUCUGUGACUUCCAAUAAUUCUCCCCAAAAUCAUCAGAGUUGGAGAAGUCUGAGUCAGC
rnacentral:misc_RNA from 1 species